CUUUUUUUUGCCAACCUCUGAGUCCAUGACCCUAUCAGCUCUUGGCUACUGUAUGUCUUCCCAGUCAUUCACAGGGAGGCAUUGUGGUAAAUGGCCUAAUUAACAUCAGUAUAUCAACAAUUGAGAAGCGCUAUGAGUUGAACAGCUCCCUUACUGGCUUGAUAUCUGCAAGCUAUGACAUUGCUUUUUGUGUAUUGUCAUUGUUUGUAUCUUUCUUUGGAGAAAGAGGGCACAAACCACGAUGGCUGGCUUUCUCAGCUUUUAUGCUAGGAUUGGGCUCACUUGUAUUUUCCUUACCACACUUCAGUAGUGGAAAAUAUCACUAUGGAGCUAAACUUGAAGAUACAUGUCAAAUUUCAGGAGCAAGCUCUGCUAAUUUCACUUGCAGUGCCAGCACAAAGUCUUCACUUUCCAAUUAUCUGUAUGUCUUUAUACUGGGACAGCUGCUGCUGGGAGUUGGAGGAACUCCACUAUAUACUUUGGGGACAGCUUUUAUUGAUGAUAGUGUUCCAAAGCACACAUCUUCCCUUUAUAUAGGAAUUGGCUAUGCCAUGUCAUUGCUUGGGCCUGCUAUUGGCUAUGUCUUAGGAGGACAGCUGCUUAGUAUUUACAUUGAUAUCAAGAUCCCAGAAAGUACACAGAUGGACCAAGAUGACCCACGCUGGCUUGGAGCAUGGUGGAUAGGAUUCCUUGCAUGCUUUUUUGCAAUGUGGUUUCUGAUAAUACCAUUUUCUUGCUUUCCGAAAUACUUGCCAGGAACAGCAAAAAUACAGGCAGAAAAAAUCUCUGAAACCCAUAAUGAUGGAAGUGAG
rnacentral:lncRNA from 1 species